rnacentral:misc_RNA from 1 species
UAGGCUUGACAAAUACUUGAGCCUUUGUGGGUCUUUGGAGGCCAUGUUAAGGACCGUAUUAAGCAACGAAUCCUGUUUGGGUGGAUUGAAAGGUGAGCAUUUGCUGUAGAUGGGAACGAUUGAAAGAUCUGAGCCAUCUGCUUGAGAGGCACAGGGGUCAAGAGCUCUUGUGCUUGAGAUUAGAAGAGCAAACAAGAAGAUUUUGGCAACAAUCGCGGAGUCCAUGGCUUGGACUCUGAAAAAAUUGGAAAUUAAAGAGAAGGUAAAAAGAUUGUAGC